AUCAAUUGGAGGGCAAGUCUGGUGCCAGCAGCCGCGGUAAUUCCAGCUCCAAUAGCGUAUACUAAAGUUGUUGCAGUUAAAACGCUCGUAGUCGGAUUUCGGGGCGGGCCCGCCGGUCUGCCGAUGGGUAUGCACUGGCGGGCGCGUCCUUCCUCCCGGAGACGGCUGCUACUCUUAACUGAGCGGUGGCCGGAGACGGGAUAUUUACUUUGAAAAAAUCAGAGUGUUUCAAGCAGGCAGUCGCUCUUGCAUGGAUUAGCAUGGGAUAAUGAAAUAGGACUCUGGUGCUAUUUUGUUGGUUUCGAGCACCGGAGUAAUGAUUAACAGGGACAGUCAGGGGCACUCGUAUUCCGCCGAGAGAGGUGAAAUUCUCAGACCAGCGGAAGACGAACCACUGCGAAAGCAUUUGCCAGGGAUGUUUUCACUGAUCAAGAACGAAAGUUAGGGGAUCGAAGACGAUCAGAUACCGUCGUAGUCUUAACCAUAAACCAUGCCGACUAGGGAUUGGAGGAUGUUCCAUUUGUGACUCCUUCAGCACCUUUCGGGAAACUAAAGUCUUUGGGUUCCGGGGGGAGUAUGGUCGCAAGGCUGAAACUUAAAGGAAUUGACGGAAGGGCACCACCAGGAGUGGAGCCUGCGGCUUAAUUUGACUCAACACGGGGAAACUUACCAGGUCCAGACAUUGUGAGGAUUGACAGAUUGAGAGCUCUUUCUUGAUUCGAUGGGUGGUGGUGCAUGGCCGUUCUUAGUUGGUGGAGUGAUUUGUCUGGUUAAUUCCGAUAACGAACGAGACUCUGACCAAUUACUAGUGAAAUCUUUUGAAAAGAAAGUUACCGCAGUAAUGCAGUUUCAUUCGAGAUUUUACUUCUUAAGGGGACACGCUAUUGUGAAUAGCACGAGGAAGAGCAAUAACAGGUCUGUGAUGCCCUUAGAUGUUCUGGGCUGCACACGCGCUACAAUAAAUUAAUCAACAAGUUCUCCGUUUUGACAGAUGCGGGCAAACUUUUGAAAUUAAUUUAUGGUAGGAAUGGGAACUUGCAAUUAUUUUCCCUGAACUAGGAAUUCCUAGUAAACGCAAGUCAUCAGCUUGCGUUGAUUUAGUCCCUGCCACUUGUACACACCGCCCGUCGCUACUACCGAUCGGAUUUAUUAGUGAGAUCUAAAGACUUG
rnacentral:rRNA from 14 species